rnacentral:rRNA from 1 species
AUGAAGGCGAGACAACUCGAGCACCUUGAUGACGCUAUGCUGGAUGGUGGUCCUACAAUAGGGUCAUCAAAUAAGGUGGGGGAGGAAAAUGAUGGAAAUGAUACUGCAUAUGAAGAUAGUUCUGAUUUGUAUAAUUCUUUCGAUGAGAUUGGCAGUGAAGGUAUAGAAGGUUCAAGGACAAAGGGGAUGUACCAGAGUUUACUCUUGGUAUGA